AUGCCGUGGUGGGGGCAUGCUGCAAUGUAUUCUUGGAAUCUCUCCCAAGCUUCCAGAAUAGCUUCAUUUGGAUGCUAUUGAAAUCCAGAGAUUUUGCUCCGGAGGGC